UCACACUGAAAGUGGCCUCAGGUUCUAACGGUGUCCUGAGGUCAGAUGAUUGGGCCGACAGAACUCUGGUACAUGAAGCUCAUCUGCUGCUCCGUCUGUGGCAGCCUGAUGAAACCCAGGUACCGACAGCA
ensembl:snoRNA